UGGGGAAUAUUGGGCAAUGGGCGCAAGCCUGACCCAGCAACGCCGCGUGAGGGAAGAAGGCCUUCGGGUUGUAAACCUCUGUCCUUAGGGACGAAAAAAAUGACGGUACCUAAGGAGGAAGCUCCGGCUAACUACGUGCCAGCAGCAGUGGUAAUACGUAGGGAGCAAGCGUUGUCCGGAAUUACUGGGCGUAAAGGGUGCGUAGGCGGCUUGGCAAGUCAGAUGUGAAAUCCCCGGGCUUAACUCGGGGGGUGAAUUUGAAACUGCUGAUCUUGAGUGCAGGAGAGGCAAGCGUAAUUCCUAGUGUAGCGGUGAAAUGCGUAGAUAUUAGGAGGAACACCAGUGGCGAAGGCGGCUUUCUGGACUGUAACUGACGCUGAGGCACGAAAGCGUGGGGAGCAAACA
rnacentral:rRNA from 1 species